AAGCAGACGAAUUGACUCGUUUGACGCCCACGGCCUAACCAUGGAGGAUAAUGGAAGAUUAGUUAACAACAGUGAAACUGCAGCUACUGGCAAUAAGUGUUUAUCUACAGAAACAAUUCUUUCAUCGAUAUCAAACGAGGCACCAGCUCAACAUGAUGUGGCAUGCCUUCCUGAGCAUGCUAGAAUGCUUGCUAAUGCAACAAAAGACGCU